CCUGUUCCUCAAAUGGGUACCUGACUUCCAGAAAUUUUCAAAACGAAAGAAAAUUUCCUGCCCCAGUUUGAUAAUCUUCCUUGUAUCAUACCUUUCCACCAUCAAUAACAUCUCCAUCCCCUGUUUUAAAUCAAAGAAAAUUUGUCAGUUUAAAAUGUGAUGAUUGGUUGUGAUACUCCUACCGAGGAUGGUUUUCUUUCUUCUCUCCUUUACAUGCUCUGCUUCGUCCAACUGCCUUGAGCUUGGUGGGAAACUUCUAACAUUUUGCUGCUUCCUUAUCUACAAACUUUCCAAUUGUUUCUUCCUACUUUUAGCUUUCUUAUCUAAAACUUUUACACUUGUUUCCUUCCCCUUUUUGUUAUAAUAGAAGAAAUAUUCAUCAGACUAAGAUUGUUAUCUUUAUCUUAGUUAAAAGAUUCAUCAAACUAAGAUUUUUAUCAUUAUCUUAGGUGAAACAUUUAUCAAACUGAGUUUUUUAUCUUUAUCUUAGGAGAAAGAUUCAUCAUACUAAGAUUUUUAAUUUUAUCUUAGGUGAAAAAUUCAUUAGACUAAGAUUUUUAUCUUUAUCUUAGGAGAAAGAUUUAUCAUACUAAAAUUUUUAUCUUUAUCUUAGGUGAAAAAUUCAUCAAACUAAGAUUUUUAUCUUUAUCUUAGGAGAAAGAUUCAUCAGACUAAGAUAUUUUAUCUUUAUCUUAGGUGAAAAAUUCAUCAGACUAAGAUUUUUUUAUCUUAGGAGAAAGAUUCAUCAGACUAAGAUUUUUAUUUUUAUCUUAGGUGAAAAAUUCAUUAGACUAAGAUUAUUAUCUUUAUCUUAGGAGAAAAAUCACCAGACUAAGAUUUCGAUCUUAGGAGAUGAUUCAUCAAAGUAGGUUCAAUUUUUCGAAUCUAGACUUUCUUAAUUUUUUUCAAAUUUAUACUUCCUUUUUUUUCCCAAAUUCUGCCUUCCUUUAUUUUUCUCAAAUUCUGCCUUCCCCUCUUUUUAAAAAAAAAUUAUCCUAGGAGAAAAUUCAUCAGACUAAGACUUUUAUCCUAGGAGAAAAUUCGUUAGACUAGGUUUUCUAUCUUAGGAGAAAGAUUCAUCAGACUAAGACAUUUAUUAAUUAACCAUUUUCUCUAUCAUCCAGAUCACUGAAAUACCUUUUGUUCGGUCGGGCCCCACAUCCUUUAUUUGUUGCAUUGCUCGUGAACCGACAUCUUCCCAACCUUUGUGUCUCACAUGAAUCCCGAAUCAUGUCCAUUUCUCCCACUCUUCAUAUAUGUACUUGUUUCUUGACUUGUCCACUAGCCUUGGCCUUGAGGUCUGUUGCUCAUUUACUUGAUAUGGCGACUAAUUUCCAUUCAAAGAGCUCGCUAGUUUCUUGACUAAGCACUUCCUUUAUAAACCUUGACCCAGAAAAUACUUCUCUUCGUCUGAAUCCGAUACCUUCUAUCUUGUCGUAUUGCUCAUGGACCGUCAUUUACCCAACCUUUGUGUUUCCCCUAAAGCAUGUUGAUUAUUACCAGCUCAGUGCCCUAGUUGUUAUUUCUGACAUGCCUUUUUGAUGUACUAGCGAGAUCUCGUCUUGUGCAAUCAACAAGCUGAUGAUAAAUUUUGAAGUCAUUUCUCACUUGUUCUGACCAAACAGACUCAGGAAGAAGAAAUGAACAAGGAAAAGUAACAGAGUAAAAGACAAAGGAAAAAAGAUGAUUCCUAACAAGAAAAACUAUAAAGUAGAAACCUAUCAGGCGUGGAUACCAACUCUAAUGGCCAUGCAUGCACAUGUGGCCUAUUCUCUCAAGCCAUUCUGAUGUUCAACUCUUGUGGUACCCUUAAAGCAUGAAAUUGGGCUUUGAUUCUCCGUCAUUACUCAUCUUUCACAAUCUCGAUCUGGUGAUUUCCCAUCUGAUUCUCAAUCCUUAUCCGACUUGUAGUGCCCGAAGGGUUUACACUAUCAAGGCUCUCUCAUUUUGAUCUUUCUCUCAACUUCUGUCGCCUUAUGGUGCAUGUGAAGGUUUUCACAGGUAAGACUCUCUCAUUUUCAUUUCUUUUCUAUCGGGAUCAGAUGUUAUUCUCGACUUCCAUUUUCCUGACUUGGCAUCUUUUGAAGACUGGUCAAAAGGUCUUUCUUUGGACCGUAGCGUGGGAUUUUGGAUGGGGCUAGAAAGAAAGGGUAUUAAAGGCUCAAAACAAAUUAACUUGGGUUCAAAGUUACAACCUUCGGAACCAGAUUUCAUCACAACAACCACAACUUCUGCCCCAGUUUCUUGCUUGGGGAUUUUUUUAUUUUUGUUACGCUAUGACCGAGUCGCGAAGCACCUACAUAUCCUCUUUGAGGAAUCAGAUCAAAUAUAGUUCAUCCUGAUUUCCUUGUUUUUAUAGUCUUUCUUUUCACUUAUUUAUUAUUUUUUCCUUUUUCUUUUCCUUUUCCUUUUCUCAUUUCUCUUUUCUCUUUUGUUGUUUUGUUGUUUUUGUUGUUUUCUUUUUCUUUUUCUUUUUCUUUAUCUUCCAUGCUUGUGUUGCUAACUAAUUCUAAAAGAGGGGUAUAAAAGAAAUAAAUAAGGCUCAAAAGGGGUAACGAAGGAUAAAGUUUAUAGAUAGCAGAAAAAAAUGCCUCUGUCAUUAUAAUAUUCAAAACAUGUCGAGCCCAAAUAACGUGAUUAAACAUACAUUUGUAGCCUCUUCUGAUGGUGCUAAACUUGACAGCUAUAUUCACAAUUUGCUUUUUCAUUUGUUAAAUACAAAGCACCACUGGGCAACACACUCACUCUCAUUAUCACAAACGACCUUUGUCAAUUUGGCCAACUUGCUUUUAUGGUUUCUUUAUGUUUCAUCUGCCCCAGCCCCUGCCCCAGCCCCACAUGGUUCGAACUUAAAAUGAUCUCAAUAUGUUCUUAAUUCCCUUAAGUGCCCCUAUCAUAUUCCCAAUUUCUUCAUGAUUAACCAUUAAGAAUAUGCCUAGAAUUAUGUGUGCAUGUCAUGUCAUGAAAACUAGCAAAUAAAAAGAAAUAGGAAUAGAAUGACAUAAAAGACAAACUGUAUUUUAUUCACUAAAGAUGGAAAUAUUUGACAACUAAAGAAGAAACCUAAGAUCCAAGUUACAAACCUAAAAUAAUCCGGAUAAUGAAAAUAGCAAUAAAACAAACACAUGUAACUCAUUCAAAAGAAUAGAAAUAUAUAGAGGUUUGACUCAAAAAAUAAAACCUAGAUCACAAAAUCGAAAUAGCCCAGAUAACAUAAAAACAUCAAAACAAGCUAAAGAUUCCCUUUUAAGUGAGGAGGGAAUGACUUUUCCUAACAUUUAGCCAUAAAUGUGCUCAGCAGAAUUACCACAGCUUUUUCUAUUUUCAGUCGGCAAGUUCCCGAGAGGAUUCUCAUACCCCAUAUUACUGGGCAUCAUCCCAACAAAGUGUGCAUCAUCAUGUGCAUGUAAAGGAUUCAACGUGAUAUUCUGGGUGUCACUAUUUUUAAUCAAAUUUUCCUGGAUCAUACUUUCUAUUUCACUUUCAAAUCCCGACAACUUUCCACAUUGCGCCCCUGAGCAUUGGAGUGGUAUUCACACCUUUUAGAUAGGUCAAAGAUUCUUGCAUGUCGGUCCACCUGAUUUGGAGGAAUGAGUGCAAUCAUGUCAUGUUGUUUUAACUUCUCAAAUAAUCUCGCAUAGGAUUCUCCAAUUGGUGUAAAACUAACUUUCAACUUUUUUUCCUUCUAUUACCCCGGCUUAGAUGUGGGUUAUAAGGUACUUGAAAAUUCUUCGGAGGCUGGUGGAGAUUUCGUGAUGCUCGUGCUCGCUUUCUUGGGUGAUUUGAUGGCUGGACAACAUAUUGGGAUGGAUCAACAGAGUAUGGUGGGUUCUGAGGUGGAUACUAAUGCUUGGGGGGCUCAUGGAAAACCUGAUGAGGCUGCACAUACCUUUGAGGUGUUCUUCUAGGACCUCUUCUCGACCCUAAUAUCAUCAUAAUUUCUUCAUCCCUCUCUUUCGCGUCACCAUAUUCAAUUUGGACAGCCUGAGCUGCAGCUUUGAGUGCUGCUUGACUUACAAUUCUGCAUGUCUUAAGACCGUUCUCUACCAUUUCUCCCAUUCUGAUUGCUUCUAAGAAGGAUUUACCAACUGCGGACAUCAUGUUUUGAAAUUAAUCCGGCUCUUGAACAUGAAGGAAGACAAUGAUUAACUUGUGGUCAUCCAUGGGUGGCUUAGCUCGAGCUGCUUGUUCACUCCAUUUAAUGGCAGGGAAAUGCGGUAUGGGCAAUGUCGAUGUUGUACUGGAACUGUUUGACAAAUGCUUGUGCCAUAUUAUUCCAGACAUACCGGUGAGAUGUGUCUUGAUCCAAAAACCAUUCAGAUGCUACUCCCGUGAGACUUUCCCCAAUAUAAGCUAUCAGUAAUUCUUCAUUUCUUCUCACACCUCUUAGUUGAUUGCAAUACCUUUUUAGGUAGGUUAUGGGGUCUCCAUGUCCUUUUUAGGUAGGUUAUGGGGUCUCCAUGCCCAUUGUAUUUUUCAAAUUUUGGAAUAUUGAAACCAUGCGACACAUGGACACCGGGGAACAUACAUAGAUCUCUGAAGGCAACACUCUUUUGACCUGCCACUGCUUGCAUGUUUUUCAACCAUUGUGCUAAUCUUUUCAUUCUUUGGGUUAUUUCUUCCUAUACCAACUUUCUGGCGGGAUUCUUAAUGUUUGCCGGAAGAUCAAAUAAGUACGAGUGCUGCUAUUGUUGUGUAGCAUAUUGUGACUCAUGACGGAGCUCUCCUUGACCAUUUGCCCAUGCUUAACAUAUUUCAGUCAUUUUCUGUUUCGAUAUUCUAUUUUUUUCAAACACCCUAGACUCUAGUUGAACCCUCUGACCCUAAGACUCUUGAGAACUUGUAACAGCUUCGAUAUCAGUUAACAUUUUUCCUCGAAUCUUGUGUUAUCCACUUGCCACAAACCGAACACCUCAACUUUCUUCACAAUUCAAAACAUGUUAGAAUGGACUCUGUUAUAUAUAUAUAUAUAUUUGUGGUCAAAUCUUAUGGAGAUUGCCUACGUAUCAUGACCCCGAAUGAAUCACACCGUGCGUAGUUCUGACAGAUAAGUGCCAAAAUGACUAAUAAAAUUUUUGAUUUUUUUUUCAAAAUUUCCAAAAAAGAAAAAUGUAUUUAUUAAAAUGACUCGUUUUAUUAAUAGAUUCUAAAAGACACUAUCAUCAAAACGGCAAUACAACCUAAAAUAGACUAACAUACUUGACUCAAAAAUAAUUUUCUUUUUCUUUUUUUUUAAAAAAUCAUCAUUAUUUCUAAAAACAAUUCAUAAAAUAUCCGGUCUUGUCAAUACAACAUUUCAGCACUUCGAAGGAUUUAAAGGUUGUGUUUACUAGCUGGCGAAAACCUUAAAAAAUGACCAAAGGUGGUUGUUCCGGAAAAAGCAGCCUUCCGACAUCUAUUUUGAGAAUAUUCGGCUAUUUUUGACAAGAACGGCAUCACCCGACUUAUUUAUGACGAAAAUUAAAAUUUCGAUAUUAUUUGGCAAUUUUUGCAAAAUGGGAGUUUGGACCCGAUGAGGGUUGCCUACGUAUCUCACAUCCGGUAAGAAUCAAACAUGCAUAGUUUGGGGAAACAAACUAUUUUGAAAACAAAACAAACUAAAAUAUUUUUUUUAUUUAAAAAAAAAUCGGCAGAGUUUUGACACUAUUUGGACAUCUGUAUUCUUCAAAACAGGUGGUUAACUCUCUACACUACUUUUUUUUCUUUUCUUCAAAUCUUCACAAUAUUCAAAAAUUGGUCAGCAUGCAAGCCCAAAGCAAAAUAAAAUGCACAAGUAGUAAGAUGCAUCAGGAUGGUCUUUUUCAUUUCAGGUACAUCUCUCCUAGACAGACCCAACCGUUGUGUUGAUUCUGCAUGAUGCAAACAAACGUUCCUACUAGCGAUCCAGCAUGAGGUUUUGUUUCAUCUACGUUCAAAUCUUAUUGGAGAAAGUAUCUAUACUGGCUUACUCGAGCGGACAACUCGAGUCGAUGAGGGUCAGCGUAUCUGGUAGCAUUGCUUUCCGGCUUAACUGACGGUGCUCCUCGCCUAAAACAUGUGUGACUAAAAUCCUUCACUGGGUGUCAAGCACCUCAGCCAUCUCAAAGAAAGCAGGUCAUGUCAAGCAAAUGCCCAGUUUUAAUUUCAAGAAGACUCAGAGGGAAGAUGGGUUUCGUAACAAUUUAUAUACAAUUCACAGAAUAUCAAAGCAGUAAAAACAACAAUUAGCACAUUAGGCCCAUAUAUGUAAAUAAAAUCAGAUAAUAAAUAAAUCUUAUACAACAAUUAUUCCAAGCUCGAAUUUCUAACGUUGAACCAGUGGUUCUGGGUUAACUUCCCCAGUAAAGCCGCCAGAGCUGUCACACCUCCUUUUUUACCUACACCCGCAAGGGCGUAAAGGGAGUUUUUCCAAUUAAAGGACAAUCAAAAUGGGAUUAUUAUUAUUAAGAUUCAGAGUCACCACUUGGGAGAUUUAUGGUGUCCCAAGUCAACGGUUUAACCCUGAAUCAAGGAAAAUAAUGACUCUGUUUAACAGUCUACGCACCAGAAAUCCGAGUAAGGAAUUAUGUUAACCCGGGAGAAGGUAUUAGGCAUUACCGAGUUUCGUGAUUCUAGCACGGCCACUCAACUAUUAUAUUCGGCUUAAAUUAUCUAAUUUUAACAAUUAUGAUCCUAUGUGCAGAUUUUAACUUUAAUCGCUUUUUAUUUAUUUUUUAAAGAAAAUUUGCAACGUCACUAAAACAAGUCUUGAACCAGUCACAUAAAUGCACCCGUAGUUUUUGAUAUAUUUUAACAUUGUUGAGAUUUGAAUUUGGGUCACAUAAAUGCGUACCCGAGCUUAAGAAAGUAAUAUUAUUAGAAUAUUGUCCGAAAGCGACUAACGCGUUUCUAUCUUUGGGGAAUCCGUGAAAUUCAUUAAACGGCUCAUCCCAAAUUCCAAGUAUUUUAAUAUAUAUACAUUUAAAGAGGGGCCCUCCAUUUAUGUGAUUUUUCUGGCGAGGCUCAUCUCUUUUUUUACUUAAAGGCUGAUUCUAAAGCGGCUAUAAUUUUUCGAAUUAUUUUGUUUCCAAAAAAAUACAAGAAAAAGUCCUAAGUAAUUUGUUAUUGUACUGAGGUAAACCAGGCAUCGACACAGGUCUAAACAUGAAUGAAAAUAACACUGGACCUAGGCCCGCGUAUCAGAUAAUUUGAGGCCCAAAGGCUGGAGAACACGACUCGACGUUGAGUCUUAGCCAUCGGCACAAAAUAGCACCUAAAGGAAAAUUCGAAUGCCCCAACUAGUUCCAAAACAUACCACAACAACACCAUACCCAAAUUGAUCCUAGAAUGUCUUAAGUGAAACCAAAAAUCUACUGGAAAACCAACCAAAAAAUAGUACUGACUCCAGUUAACAAAAUACUGAACUAAAAAAUGACUUAGUAGCUAGAAAUCUGAAAGCUCUCAAAAACUCUCACAAUUGAUUCCUAAGAACUGUGUUAAGCUUUUAAAACCCUCUCUCUCUUUUUCAGUCUAAAACUCUUAAGCACUGAUGUUUUUAAGCUAAUUGACUGAAGAAAAACUCUCCGUCUAAAACUCGUUGUGUGUUCUCCGACUCCUUUCUUUCAGAAUGUUCUCUUAAUUUUCAUUUAAAGAUCAAUUUUACUCCCCUUUUUCCCUUUUUUAUUCAAACACUUUUCUUUACAACUUGUAUAUUUCCUCCCCGUGUGCACCCCUUUAGCUUUUCAUUAUUACCCCAUGUUAUCUACUUCCCAACCCCUUUUUCUUUCUUUAUACUUGUAUUAUUUUGACUUUUUGUACCCCCAUGUUCUAUUCUGAUUUUUCCACUAAAAGAUAUUGUUCAGAGUUGUUAGUAUACCCUUUACCCUCUUUCCUGUUAUUCUAAUCCAAACAGGUAUGGGCAUAUCCUUUUUUUUAAAAGAAAACUUGACUACUAACUAUACUAAUCAAUUCCUUGAGUCAGGGAUCAAGUGAUGAACAAAGCACAUGGCAACAAUUUCUGAUCCUAGAAGUUUUUACCAUUUCACUGUCAAAUGACAUUUCUCAUACGAAAAUUAGAACUGAAAUUGACGUGCAAUAAUCCAGGACUGACUCUUUUGGACUUCGAAACAAACAGAAGUUAAAACCAAAUUGCAAAUAGCUUUUUCAACACAAACUUAAUUUAAACCAAAAGUUAAACAACUAAUAAGAACAAAUAUUGAUGAACACGGCUCACACAAACAACAGAAACAAGCACAAUGAAAGAAACGAAAAGAGGAGAGAUGAACAAGAUUAUAGAAACCAACAUAAAAACGAAACACGAGGAGAUGAGGACUGGAAAUUUAAACAAAAAUAAAAGAUAAAAGAAAAGAAAAGGGAAUUGAAAAUACCCGAAUUCCAUGCGGACCCAAUUAUGAAAUUUGUCCCCGUUUCUCUGAUUUGGAUCGAAACGGACCUUAAUUGUGUGUUUUCAAUGUGAAAAUACAUGACUAAGGUCUAAUUCGGUCUACAAAUCUUAACAUGUCCAUUGAAUUUGAGUUAAAAUAAGUAGGGCUCGUUUAUGCGAUCUAGUAUUCGAACAACUCUAGGGGGAUUCGAAGGAAACAAUUUGGAUAUUUGGAUUGAGGGAGGCUUGGUGGUUCAAGGGUGUGAAUUUGGUUGUGAUUGGAUAGGCUAGGGGUUUUAAUGGAUUCUUCGAUUGAAGAUUCAAAGAAACUGGUUGGGAUUCGAGGGAAGCUGUUAGGAUGGUUGGAAUGGGGAGGUCAAGAGGGUUCUAGGUUGUAAAAAUGGGAAGGUUUGAGUGUCGGCCGCCGUCGUAGGCGAUUUCCGACGGGCGGUCGACGUCGUUUCAUGAUUGCGGGUUCAUUUGUUCUUUGAUAGAUGACA
rnacentral:lncRNA from 1 species